UUGACGGAGAGUUUGAUCCUGGCUCAGGGUUAACGCUGGCGGUGCGCAUAACACAUGCAAGUCGAGCGAGGGCUCAUUUCCCGCAAGGGAGAUGGGUUCCUAGCGGCGAACGGGUGAGUAACACGUGGGCAACCUUUCCUAUCGCGGGGGAUAACAGCGGGAAACCGCUGCUAAUACCGCAUGUAGUCACCGGUCGCAUGGCCGGUGAAAAAAG
rnacentral:rRNA from 1 species